CUUUUCUGGAGAUUCACUCUGCUGGAGUUUCACAAGCAAGCUCAGGAUAUGAGUGUUGUCGGAACCCGAUCCUGCAAAUCAUUUCUCCAGGCAGCCCUCACAUGUGAGGGAUCCCAGGCAUGGCGAAAAGACUGCGGGUGUGACUGAGUUGACUGGAAAAAAAGGGAAAUCUUCCACAUGAUCUGCUGAUCCUGGUCCUUGGUUCCUGCAAAAAAAAUGCAUCUAUUCUUCCUCAACAUCCCUCAAUUUGACAAUAUUGGCAUUCAAGAUCUGAAGUGCUGUAAAUGUACGUCAAUGAAAAACAAACAACCAGAUCAAGAUAAAGGCUUGCAGCACAUCUUUCUCUUUCCCUCCUGUGACAAUUGCCACUUUUUUCAUGGACAAGCUUAAAAGAAAUGGCUUUGCUUGGGUAAAAUUGAUGAGAUCUCUGUGCAGGUGUAUAAGGCAGCUUCUGGCUUUAAAAAAAAAAGUGUGAAGCACUUAUGUCAUCAAUGAACUGAUCAGAUGAUAAGCAUGCUUAUUUCCUUAGCUCUCUAAUUACUUUUCUCUCUUGAAGAAAGUAUCUAGAAUUGCAUGGAGCCUAGGCUUAGACUGAAAAUUUAAUGUCAGUGGAAAUUCACUGAAGUUAUGCUUUUCCUGGAAAAAUCAACCACUGUUACAUUUUAUGAGUCUCAAACAGAAUUAAAGUAGUGUUGUAACUCUGGUUUGAGCCAAAUGUUUGCUUCAGCAAUUGUUUUAAAUGUUACUGUUAAUACAACAUAGAGUUUCUAUGUCUAAACAAAAAGAUAAUGGCAGCAUACUAACUACAUAAAACCAUCAUGAAUUGGGGUCAAAUAGACAUACAUUUUAAUUAUCUCUGUGAAUGAAGAACAUAAUUCAGAGAUACUUAUUACCAUCUACCAUAUUGCGAAGUAAGCAAAUUUGUGCUUAGGGUAAUUAUCUUUGUAGUUCAUAAAGUUCAAGAAUUUUUCAAUGCUUUCUCCUUCCUGCCUACAUUCUACAGAUAUGCUACCUCUAGUCAUAAAAAUACACAUACAGGACAAAAAUCAUUGCUGAAUUAGUACAGGACUAAUUGAAGUAACAGUUUGUAUUAUUGAAGUUAAACUGAUACUCAGCUUAGGUAUCCUUGAUGAGGUGAGAUAAGGGUUCACUCAGGUGCAGAUACACAAUGCAGUUUAAAAAAAAAGAAGCUAAGCUAGUUUCAUAAUUACACCUUUUUGUUGAGACUUCCUCUCAAUGAAAGAAUAGGAUUCCACAAAUGAAGUAUGAUUUACUGUGUUUAUUUACACACACACCUGUUUAUACACAGGCACACACACCUGUCUGUAAACAGUUCUUGCUUUUUUUUUUUUUUACUUUGGAGCCUUUGCAGGAAGCACUGCUAACUCGCUCUGCUCUAAGUUGGUGCUGGAUAUUGUUACUAUUUGUUAAAACUCUCAGAAGCAGAGAUGGAUUUGGCUUAUGUCUUAGUGCACAGUUCUUAAUUGGAAGUUGUAGGAAUCUCAUAAACUGUGAUGAGAGCCAUGGAAGAGUGUGUUGCAGGGAAAAAAAAACAAAAGUGGAAGGAAUGAAAAUGGAAGAGAGGGCAGAAUGAAAAAUUAGUGAAGAACAGAUUUAAAAAGUCUCAGCAGAUGAAGCUGAGUGAACUUUUUGCCUCGUACUAUCUGUAAUGUCCAAGUCUGAAAAUGUAUUUAUAUAUAUAUAAAAUGACACACAGAUUUUCUUAAUAUUUUCUCAUGUCCUUAUCACUGCGUAAUGUUCUUACCUUCUGAAGCCACUUUUAGUUAUGUAUGUUAUAGUAAUACAAUAUAAAAUACAAGAUUGUGGUGAUUUUUUUUCUAUGCUCUGUAGUGUUACAGUGUAUAAUUUACCUGGAUCAUGUAAAGAUUUUUCUGAAAUGAGAAUUUCACGGCUAGUCAAACUCAGCAGCUGAGUUGCUUUCUUUUUCUUUCCAUGAGACCAAAAAUGGGUUUUGUGACAUACUUAGGUACUGGAGAUUCAACAGCUCAUCACAUGAAAUGGUCAGAAUUUCAGCUCCAGAUUUCCACUCCUAAGGAACUCCAGAUUGUCUCAGUCUCAAAUAAUUCAAAUUUUACUGGAGUGAGGACUUGGAUACCAGAUAAGCACUUAUGACCAGCUCAUCUGAUGAUAUCACUUGUGUUGAAAUUUAGAGAUAAGAGUACAGAAAUGAAGGAAAUGUGGCACAUUUGCUAAUUUUUUUCAUCAUUACACUGUUAUUUUUUCAGUUUCAGGAGAAAGUAAAGGUGUUGGCAUACUAAUGCCAGAUACAGAUACUUCUAAACUAGGAGAUAUUAAGCAGAAAAAGAAAAUACUUUAGUGGGCAUAAAUAAGAUGCAACGUUUGCCUAUGGGGAAAAUUUAAUAUGGCAGCAACACCAAACAACUGCAAUAAAGUUCUGAUAAGUUGUUUUUCCCCUCAGGAUAAUCCAACAGUUUGGUGUAUUCAAUUAUUUUACGCGAUCCUGAAGGGCUGAGAAAACUGUGUGGUUUGUUUUACAACUCUUAUUCGUUAUUCUGAAGGCAUAGUUUCUUUACAGAAAUGAGAAUUACUUAUUCCCAGUAAUGUAGUUUGUAUUAAUA